rnacentral:rRNA from 1 species
UACGGAGGAUGCAGGCGUUAUCCGGAAUGAUUGGGCGUAAAGCGUCCGCAGGUGGCUGUGUAAGUCUGCUGUUAAAGAGUGAGGCUCAACCUCAUAAAGGCAGUGGAAACUACAUGGCUAGAGUGCGUUCGGGGCAGAGGGAAUUCCUGGUGUAGCGGUGAAAUGCGUAGAGAUCAGGAAGAACACCGGUGGCGAAAGCGCUCUGCUAGGCCGCAACUGACACUGAGGGACGAAAGCUAGGGGAGCGAAUGGG